ACGGGGGGGGCAAGCGUUGUUCGGAAUUACUGGGCGUAAAGGGCGCGUAGGCGGUUUGCUAAGUUGGAUGUGAAAACUCUGGGCUCAACCCAGAGCCUGCAUCUGAUACUGGCAGGCUGGAGUUCUGGAGGGGAAAGCGGAAUUCCUGGUGUAGCGGUGAAAUGCGUAGAUAUCAGGAGGAACACCGGUGGCGAAGGCGGCUUUCUGGACAGAAACUGACGCUGAGGCGCGAAAGCUAGGGGAGCAAUCAGGA
rnacentral:rRNA from 1 species